CCCUUAGAUGUUCUGGGCUGCACGCGCGCUACACUGACACACGCAACGAGUCUCCUGCCCUGACGGGGUCGGGUAAUCAUUUGAGUGUGUGUCGUGAUGGGGAUAGAGUAUUGCAAUUAUUGCCCUUGAACGAGGAAUUCCUAGUAAGCACAAGUCAGCAGCUUGUGCUGAUUACGUCCCUGCCCUUUGUACACACCGCCCGUCGCUCCUACCGAGGGGGUGAUCCGGUGAAUGAUUCGGACUCUGGUGCUUCUAGCUGCUAGAUGCGCCGGAGGAAGUUUUGUGAACCUUAUCACUUGGAGGAAGGAGAAGUCGUAACA
rnacentral:rRNA from 1 species